rnacentral:rRNA from 1 species
GACGAACGCUGGCGGCGUGCUUAACACAUGCAAGUCGAACGGAAAGGCCCUGCUUUUGUGGGGUGCUCGAGUGGCGAACGGGUGAGUAACACGUGAGUAACCUGCCCUUGACUUUGGGAUAACUUCAGGAAACUGGGGCUAAUACCGGAUAGGAGCUCCUGCUGCAUGGUGGGGGUUGGAAAGUUUCGGCGGUUGGGGAUGGACUCGCGGCUUAUCAGCUUGUUGGUGGGGUAGUGGCUUACCAAGGCUUUGACGGGUAGCCGGCCUGAGAGGGUGACCGGCCACAUUGGGACUGAGAUACGGCCCAGACGCCUACGGGAGGCAGCAGUGGGGAAUAUUGCACAAUGGGCGGAAGCCUGAUGCAGCAACGCCGCGUGCGGGAUGACGUCCUUCGGGUUGUAAACCGCUUUCGCCUGUGACAAAGCGUGAGUGACGGUAAUGGGUAAAGAAGCACCGGCUAACUACGUG